UUUUUCAGGAGCAGGAGUUUUCAUUAUUCUGAAUCCGAAUGAAUUUUCCUUAGGACCAACUGAACUCGCUGACAAGAGGCAGCUGUUGAGAUUGUGACUACGCACAAUUUUCAGGGAAGCUGGAUCGCACAACAGAGACAUGGCUCCUGGCCCGGUGAAGUGAGCCUGAUGAGAGCUAAGCAGGCACGAACAGGGAGGGCCGAGCUCAGGGCGCAGCCCACGCCUCCGUACCCAGCGUCUCCCGCACAGUCUGCUCCGAACUCCGCGCCCUCUCCUCACACAGAGCUCUCUGUGCCAGGCACCGAGUGCCCAGUCCCCGAAGGCUACGCCUCCUCCACGCCACCACACAAGGCCUGGGGUUCUUCCUCUUCAUUUCCUGUAGAAUUUGCAAACUUCUGUCCUUCCCAUGGGUGCUUCUCUGGGCCAUUUCUGGUCAUGUCUUGAACAUCUUGAGCAUUUCUGGAGAAGGCAAUUCAUGUCCAGUCUCCACAAUUUAAUGCUUGGACCUUGGGCAAAUUACUUCACCUCCCACUGCUUCAGUGUCCUCAACUGUAUAACGGGGUGAAAAAUACUAUUACAUGAAAUUAUUAGGAAGAUAAAAAGUUUGCUGUAGGUGCACAUAGCUCAAGUGUUUUAAAGAUGUUUCGUUACCCGUUAUUACCAUUAUCAGCAUCACAUCUGCCUCACGAGUGCUCCCAUUCCCAGUGAUUUGUUUCCAGGGUGGUGACUGGUGUGAGUCUGGCCUCGUCUCAAACAUCUUCAACCUCUGAUUAAGUAUGAUAUUUAGCAUGAACAGGGAUCCAGUACACAUUUUUGAAAUUUAAUGAUUAGCACCUGUUCCUUUGUUUUUCAUCAGCUUAUGCACUCCAUAAAGUAUGUUUUCAGCGUGACAGAAUCCUCAGGGAUGCCGGCCAGUACCUAAUGCACACUCAGCAGCCGCACGCUCAGACAUGUGUGCAGAAAUGAUGAGUUCAGUGCAGUGUGACGUACGCAAGGCAGACUGGCCGUGAGGGGAGACUGCUCCCUGUGUAGUGCCCACCGUCGGUGCUGUGCCCUGAUUCUUAGGAGCCUCUGCUCAAACUGAGACUUGAUGUUAAAGAUGUGGAAGUGGUCGCAGUACAAGACAGCUGUGAAGAGGAGAGCGGCCUCAGAUCUGGGCCCUGCUUACCCAGCACCUGUGCAGACCAGAGCUGCUCAAGGGCCCAUCUGGGACGCCGUGAGAAGCUUGUGCUGCAGGCCAGAUCAAUACUCUGCGGCUUUCAUGGAGCAAAUCUAGCUAUGAAAAAAGUAAGAGGCAGCUGAGCUAAGCAGCGAACUCACCGGUACAGUCACUGUUCUGUCACUGGGACGCAUCUGAUGCCUACAAGUCGAAGGAGGAGAGGUUUACUUUCGCUCGGUUUCAGAGGGCUCCGUCCAAGCGUAGUUUCUCUGCUCCAAGACGGGAAGCUGUGAUGGUGGAAAAGCUGCCCAGCCCAGGGCCACCAGAAGGAGGAGGGAUGGAGGGGAGUGAGGGGAGCCUCGUCAAGGGGUCCUCCUCGGUCCGUGGCAGGAAUGAGUGGUUUCAAAGUUGACGAGGUUCUCGGGGAAAUGUUCUACUGUUUAACUUGAGAGGAAAAGGGGAGAGAGAGGGGAAGGCAGGGAGGAGGACGGGGGUUGGGGAGAGAGGGGAGGAGGAGGGUAGAGAACGAUGAGAACCCUCCGAGGUCGGCCCCAGGGGUUGCCCUGCAAUCCCGCCUCUUAAGAGUACUCUGCUGCCGGACUCACAGGAAUGAACGCCCACAGCGCAGUCACCCUCCAGACACACGAGCUCAUUCAGGCCCAGGCUGUAACAGUUGACCCUCGUCACGGCCCCAGCUCCUAUUCUGUCAUUUCUGGAUAACGAUUCCUCAGUCUGAGGGUUGUGCUUUGAGGUGCCCUCCUUCCACAGUUAGUUCUGCUUGCCCCGGGCAGUAGGUGCAAAUGUGUGUGUUCAGGGGCAGGUAGAUCACUUAGAGUGAGCAGGAAGGUAAAUCAAAGAGCACGAUGAAGACCUAAACUGAGGUGGUGCUGUUGCUGCGCAGAACAAUAGAUUCCAGAAAUACCAAGUGUACCAGCGGGGUGUGGAGAACGGAGGAUGAAAGAUGCGUCUUGUUCACUGACUGAGUGUCUGGGUAGACGGUAGUGCUGUCAGCUGAAGAAAAGCUCAUGGGAGGAGGGACAAGGGGACUUAGUGGAGAGUUUACAGAAUUAUACAGUGGUGCUGUGCAUGUGCAGUGGGCGAGUGACAGGUGGAUGGCUAGGCGGUGAACUGGACUGUCCAGGUCUGGCAGUCUGUACGUGAGGGCAGUGGUUACAGGAACCAUAGAAGGACCUAACCACACUCACAGGAGGGGCAGUGGUCAAGACAAACCCUGGAGGCAAACAAGAUCUCCUUGAUGGAUCUGGCGGUCCGGGAGAGGGAUGUUCCUGGGAGUGCAGUGGUCAAGGAGGCUUCUGAAACUCUGAGCUAACAAAAUCUUCAGAAGGUGCAGAAAGAUAUCAAUUAAAUUGCCUCCCAGGAAUCAUUAAUUUGGAUCCCUUUGAAGAAAGCAGGAACAUAGGAGUGGUGGAGGCCAUAGCACUGGAGAAGUAAGUAAAACUCAGAGUCUCAGACCAUGCAGUGAGCUGGGAAGCCCCCUUCUCUUUGAGUCCUAAUACUACUCUGAGAGACGGGAAGCCAGUUGAGGGAUACUCUGUGAUGCUUUCAGCUCUCACAGUCCAUAAUGACACACACCAUUUGAGUACCUACUAAGUGGAAGGCACAUCAUUUUCAUGAGUUUUCUGCAAAGUACUGGCACCCCAUUUUCCCGAGGCCAAGAAAGUUUAAGUAUCAUGCCAAGGUUCACAUAGCCAAUGAAUUUCUGAGCUGAGAAUUAAAAACUAAGUUUGACAACAAAACCCACAUUCAUUUUCUUAUGCUGUGCUGUACAGUGGUGUUAAGAAGAGACAAGGCAUGAGACAGAAUGUGAAUUGAAUUUUGGUAGUACAUCAUUUAUAAGAGCCAUCUUUGCUAUGUUUUCAUAGGCAGUCUCCUUUAAUAAAAACCAGAAUGUUCCUUUUGAGGAACAUAAACAAAAUUUAGUGUGAGGCCUUUGAACUACUCUACUAUUAGGUGUAUAAAAAAGACCAAGUUGAUCAGCAAGUGACAAGGAAAGAGGGAAUUUUACAUA